rnacentral:rRNA from 1 species
UACGAAGGGGGCUAGCGUUGUUCGGAAUUACUGGGCGUAAAGCGCACGUAGGCGGACUAUUAAGUCAGGGGUGAAAUCCCGGGGCUCAACCCCGGAACUGCCUUUGAUACUGGUAGUCUCGAGUCCGGAAGAGGUGAGUGGAAUUCCGAGUGUAGAGGUGAAAUUCGUAGAUAUUAGGAAGAACACCGGUGGCGAAGGCGGCCCACUGGCUCGACACUGACGCUGAGGUGCGAAAGCGUGGGGAGCAAACAGG